UGCCAGACUCCUACGGGAGGCAGCAGUGAGGAAUAUUGGUCAAUGGACGGAAGUCUGAACCAGCCAUGCCGCGUGCAGGAAGACGGCUCUAUGAGUUGUAAACUGCUUUUGUACAAGGGUAAACCUGAAUACGUGUAUUCAGCUGAAAGUACUGUACGAAUAAGGAUCGGCUAACUCCGUGCCAGCAGCCGCGGUAAUACGGAGGAUGCGAGCGUUAUCCGGAUUUAUUGGGUUUAAAGGGUGCGUAGGCGGAGUGUCAAGUCAGCGGUAAAAUUUCGGGGCUCAACCCCGUCGUGCCGUUGAAACUGACACCCUUGAGUGAGUGAGAAGUAAGCGGAAUGCGUGGUGUAGCGGUGAAAUGCAUAGAUAUCACGCAGAACGCCGAUUGCGAAGGCAGCUUACCGGCGCUCAACUGACGCUGAGGCACGAAAGUGCGGGUAUCGAACAGGAUUAGAUACCCUUGUA
rnacentral:rRNA from 1 species